CCCAUGUUGGAUCACUCUCCCCUUUAUUUAUUCUAUCGGUUAGUAUUAGCAGGCACUAGACUUGUUUAUGUGCUCCCCUGGACUCUUAGUCCUUUCGUUAUGAUCAAUUGUGAACUGAAAUUGAUCACUGGGACUAGUGAGAUGGCAUUGGUACAUGCCACCUUGAUGGGAUUGAAUUGGAAUCCCCUGGUGUGUUUCUAACUCUACCAUUUGGGGCAAGUCAGCUUGAGCAUGUCCCAAAUUGUACAUCUCUUCCCUCUCUUGUUCCCACUCUUAUGUUUAACAGGGAUCACAUUUCAGUUAAAUUUUAACACUUAAGAAUAACUGUGUAUUAAUUACAGAAUUAAACCAGUAGUAUUAAGUAGAACAGACAAAAAAAAAUACGAAGAGGGAUAAUGUAUUAAGUUGUUCAUUAACAGGGAUAUGCUGAUCAACUCACCGUUUCUCAUAGUGUCCAUUUCACUUCAACAGGUUUCCUUUUUGGUGUUCAGUCAGUUGUCACCGAUCAGGGAGAACAUAUGAUAUUUGUCCCUUUGGGACUGGCUUAUUUCACUCAGCAUGAUGUGUUCCAGAUUCCUCCAUUUUGUUGCAAAUGACUGGAUUUCAUUGUUUUUUACUGCAGUAUAGUAUUCUAAAGAGUACAUAUCCCAUAAUUUCUUUAUCCAGUCUAUCGUUGAUGGGCAUUUAGGUUGGUUCCAGGUCUUGGCUAUUUUGAAUUGAGCUGCAAUAAACAUUAGGGUGCAGACCGCUUUUUUGUUUGCCAAUUUAAAUUCCUUUGGGUAAAUUCCAAGGAGUGGGAUGGCUGGGUCGAACGGUAGGGUUAUCUUCAGGUUUCUGAGGAAUCUCCAGACUGACUUCCAUAGUGGCUUGACCAGUUUGCAUUCCCACCAACAGUGGGUUAGUGUCCCUUUUUCCCCACAUCCUCGCCAGCAUCUGUUGUUGGUAGAUUUCUCUAUGUGAGCCAUUCUAACCGGGGUGAGGUGGAACCUCAUUGUGGUUUUGAUUUGCAUUUCCCUGAUCGCUAAUGAUCUUGAAUAUUUUUUUCAUGUGCCUGUUGGCCAUUUGGAUGUCCUCUUUUGAAAAAUGUUUAUUGAGGUCCUUGGCCCAUCUCUUAAGUGGGUUGUUUGUUUUGUUUUUGUGGAGUUUCUUGAUCUCUUUGUAGAUUCUGGUUAUUAACCCUUUAUCUGUUGCGUAGUUUGCAAAUAUUUUUUCCCAUUCUGUUGGUUGUCUCUUCACUCUCCUGACUGUUUCUUUUGCAGUACAGAAACUCCUCAAUCUGAUGCAAUCCCAAUAGUUGAUUUUGGCUUUGACUGCCUGUGCCUCCCGGGUCUUUUCCAGAAACUCUUUGCCUGUGCCAAUAUCUUGUGGGGUUUCUCCAAUGUUCUCUCAUAACUUGAUGGUGUCAGGUUGUAGAUUUAGUUCUUUAAUCCAUGUUGAGUGGAUUUUUGUGUAAGGUGUAAGGUAUGGGUCUUGCUUCAUGCUUCUGCAUGUGGAAAUUCAUGGUCAGUUUUUAAACACUCAGGUGGUCUCAGAAAUGCCAGAAAUGAUGCUGAUUGGCAUUUACAUUUACAAACAUCAUCUUUUUCUUUUUAAUCCUAAUCUCCAGAGAUAUAUCACCAAUUUACAGAUGAUAAAAGUGGAGGCUCAGAAGUGUUAGAAUAAAGAACCAGGACUUUGACACUACUAUCUGGUGAUUUGGUCCCAUGUGUGUCCUAUACACAGCCCCAGUCUGCUUUCCUGGGACCAGUCUGCUUUCCCUUAGAGACAGUCGAAUGCUCCGCUGUUUCUAAAAGCAAGUUCUGCCUCUUUCAUCACACCCCAUACCCAGAAUCCUGAACCUGUGCUUCUCCCUGUCAGGUGUGACCUGAGAUUGUACUGGCUGUACUGCAAGCACUUCAUGAAGAUGCCAUGUGCCAGCAUCCCUGUCCCCCGUCCUGGUGUUGCAUCUGCUACAGUGGCUGGGCAAGCAAGUGCUAUGACAAAGCUCUCCAUUUUCUCACACCAGUUCUGCACAGGCAUGAGGUGGCAAUGGCUCGGAUCAGGACACAAAUGGAGGGUGGUGGAGCUGACAGUAGAAAAAUCUACAUUCCUGCUGUCACACCUGAGCAGAUACAUCCCGCGAUUAGCCCAUCUCCUACCCCACACUAUUUUCCUGGACAAGCACCCAACCCCAACAGCAGCAGCACAUCAGCCCUCUCCAAGCAGAAUAAAACUACCAGGAUGCACCUGUGCAGCAGUUGGAUGGCCACAUCUGUAUCCACAGCAGCCAGAAUGUCAUGGAAGAAACCCGGCUUAUUUUCCAAGGGAGAAGCAGGGACACUCAAGGCAUCAGGACCCCAGUUCUCUAGCCAGAAACUAUAGGUUCUCCUUGGCACUGAUAUAAAGCAAGUCAGAGAAGACACCUGAAAGAACCAUGGGGCUGCCCCUGCAGUAGAGGAGGUGAGACCUGAGAGUGGGCGUCCCUCAAGUAAGGACAGUUCAUGGCUUUGAUGGAUCCCAGUGCCUCAGCCCACAUGAUGGCAUUUAAUGGGCCUUGAUUCUUCCUGGAGCUACAAAAGGGGGGCAGGAUGGCCAACACCUCAAGACCAUGUGGGGGGAAGAAAAUGGAUGGAGGUGACUGUGUUCCUGUGUCCACACAGCCUAGUGCCCAAGGCUUGGUUCUCCUCCCUCUCUCUUCCUGUGCCAUGCCUUUAACUUACCUGGUAAACAGCAUGAACAAGGGCACUCCAGACCCACUCUGCCUCACUGAGAAUUACACCCUCCCACCAACUCUGUAUAGUCUCCAGCAGGCAGGAUCUGAUGGCACAGACACUCCGAUGAGUCUGCAGCAACUCAGUACCUUGUGCCUCAUUUCUUAUCCUGGCAAAUGAAGAGAGUGACUGAGUUUGAGGACUGCACUUAAACAUGGGUGAGUCCAUCAGAGGUGACAUACCAUAACUCCAAUUCCACCUAGCAUUUACCCAACAGGAGCCUAGCAUAUUAGAGGCACUAGCUCAUUCAAACCCCAUGACAACCUCAUGAACUUGGUAUCAUAUCCUUUUCCCAGCUUUCAUAGGUCUCUAGUGGAGGAAUGUACCCUGAGCCCUCCUAGGGCCUUUAGAGUGGUCUACUAAGCUAGAGAGCCCCCAAACCCAGAGGAUGAACUAAGUGUGCUGCACCAGACAGUGAGUGUCCUGAGAGGAUGUGCAACACAAACCCUGUGGCCAGCAGUGUCACCUUCUGUGGAUCAUACCCCUACUGAUACUGCAGCACAACAUCCAAUAUGACCCCACAACUAGCCCUGGGUCAUACAGCAAAUCACGGCUCAGCAGCUCCUGCCCUUCUUCCAGAUGGCCACCAAAAUGGAGAGCAACAGGAACCCUGAGAAUCCCUAUUGUCCCUACCAACUCUGGUAGACAAGUGCCACAAAACAGCUCCAUGCAGAGCCCUCCAUAAUGGGGGCCUUUCCUGUCAGUAUAGCAUGGCCCCAGUAGGAUGGCUGCAGCCCAUGGGGAAGGUAGCAAGUAUCUGGGGGCUGCUGGAGCUUACAGAAGCCCUGCAGGUCAUCAACAGUGCCAGGCAGCAUCAUGGCCAGUAACCAGGAGACACUACAGCACAAGGAUGCAUGAAUUAAGGUAAAGGGCUCCUUGGGGUCCCCCAGCAAUCUGGAGGCCCCCCUGGAUAGGUCUGGCCAUCAUUCAGUGACAGUGCUGCUUAUGUAUUCUGGGAAUUUCUCAGAGUGAGCUAAGUCUUAGCAUUAAGAUGCAACCUGAACCCCUGGAUGGACAUCUGGAUUUCUAGGGCCUCUUGGUAUUUUCCAGCUGGCCCCUCAGCUCUGUUGCUGCAUGCUCCUCCCUACAUAGACCCAUGUGCAGAGUUCCCCAUUCUCACCAUCUUUAUGGUCCAUAGUUGUUUUUUUCUGAAAGGCAGAUAAAGAGAGAGAGAGAGAGAGAGAGAGAGAGAGAGAGAGAGAUGGAAAGAGAGUGAGGGAGAGAGAUAUCUCUUCCAUGAGAUGGUUCACGCCCCAGAUGGCUGUGAUGGUCAGAGCUGCACCAGGCUGAUGCCAGGAGCCAAGAACAUAUCUGAGUCUCCCACAUUUGUGCAUUUGCCCAAGAACUUAGGCCAUCCUCUGCUCCUUUAUCAGGUAUGUUAGCAGGGAGCUGGGUUCGAAGCAGAGCUGCUGGGACUUGAACUUGCAGUCUUACUAUGAAAUCUCUGAAGGUAAUAUGACAUUUCUCAUGCAUAUUUUAGAAUAUUUAUGUUUUACUUAUGAAGUUUGACUGUAAUGUUUCAUGUUUACUGUUUCACUUGCUGAUCAUGUCUAUUAGGUGUAAUCUGUAAUUCUUGCACUUUGAUGUCCCUAUCUUUCUUCAAAUUAGGGAAGUUUUCUGCUAUUAUUUUGCUGAAAAUGCCUUUUAAUCCAUUCCACACCUUCAGGAAUACCUAAGACACAUAUGUUUGGUUGUUUGAUAGUGUCCCAUAAUCCUCAAACACUAGUUUUAGUUUUCUAAUUUUUUUCCUUUUUUGGUUUUAAUGAGAUAUUUCCCAGUAUUUUUCUUCUACCUUGGAUAUUUCUUCUGCUUCACCAAAUCUGUUGUUAAGGCCCUACAUUGUAUUUUCUACUUGAAAUAUUGAAUUAUUCAUUCAUAGUAUUUCAGUUUGAUACAUCUUCUAUCUCUUGGCAAAAUUUUUCAUUCAUGUCAUGUAUAGAUUUCUUUGUCUCAUGUAUAUGUAAGUUUUGAGUAAGCUUAUGAUAAUUUUUUUGAAUUCCUAUUUCAUGCAUUUCAUUAACCUCUUCAUGUUUAAUUCUAAUAUUGAAGUGUUGUGUUCCUUUAGGGGAGACAUAUUAUCUUCCUUGUGCAUGUUCCUUAUAUUUUUGCAUUUACUUUUUGGCAUUUUUGGAGACAUUUGUCGGUGUUCUCCUCUAAUGGCUUUUAUCUUCCAAUUCUUCCUCUGUGGCUUAGUGGAGUGUCUGCUCUUUCAGGUGAUAUCCAGAAGUGUGCGCUUCAUGGGGCCAGGGAGCUCUGGGCAAUGCAUGAGAGUGAGUCAAGAGUCCAGGGUGACACCAACUUGUAUCUGGUAGAUUUCCUGUAUUCUCAGGAGUUGGGAGA